rnacentral:lncRNA from 1 species
UUAGUCGUUUAUUUUAUUUUAUUUUUUUUUAUUUUUUUUUUUUUGAAACUUUUAAAUUGCAACAUCUUAUAGCUUCGACAUAGUAAAAUUGCUACUUAUUAAUUUUACAAAUAUAUAAAGUUAUUGUCAAGUUUUUUUUUUUGAAAGAAUAUGCUCAUACAAAUACGUACUUAGUAACAUACCCUUUACCCAUCAGUUUUUUUUUUUUUUUUUUUUAUAUUUUCCUAUACUCAUAUAAUGUUAAAACAAAAAUGAAUAAUGGACAUAAGUAUCGCAUUAACAAAAUAAAGGAUAUAGAAACCCCAGUUAACAUAAUUUUAACAAAUGAUUUACAACCUGAGUUCAUAAACUUAGAGCUACUUAGAAAAAUCGAAAGUAAAUUUAUUUUAAAUUGUCCAUUAUUAGAAGUAUACAAUCACUUAGAUGUAUUUGCACAAGCAAAAGAAUUUUUUUCAAAAGAAGGUAAAACAGAAUCAGGAAGAAGUUACAUAAACAAACUAUGUGAUUUUGAUAACAGUUAUAGAUAUUUAAACAUUAGGAAUGUAUUAAAAGAUGAUUUUUUUUUAAAUAUAAAUAAAAAUAUAACUAUAAAAUAUAAUAAAUCGAGUGUAGUAUUUACAUUGGAUGAAUUUUUUAAAUGCAUUAAAUUAUUUGAGCCUGACAUUAUUUGUAUACCAUCAGAAGAAAUUAAAAUAAAUGAAGAAGUAGGAAAAAAAAAAAAAAUAAGAAUAAUCAAAUUAAUGAAUGAAUUUUUAGAGAAAAUAGAAAUUCUAAAAAAUGAAAAAAAAAUGAACAAUGAUAAUGAUUCUUUUUUAUGUAUUUUAUCGGUACCAUCCACAAUUAACAUAAACAAACUACUUAUAGACACAUUAAACAAAUACGACAGCAUUAUUGAUGGUUAUUUAUUGAGUGGAUUAGGAUACGAAGAAUCAAACGAAGUGAGAACAAGUUAUAUAACAAAUGUUUUAAGUAUACUACCUAAAAAUAAAUUAAAGUUUAU